rnacentral:rRNA from 1 species
ACGAACGCUGGCGGCAUGCCUAACCCAUGCAAGUCGAACGAGACCUUCGGGUCUAGUGGCGCACGGGUGCGUAACGCGUGGGAACCUGCCCUUAGGUUCGGAAUAACUCCCCGAAAGGGGUGCUAAUACCGGAUAAUGUCUUCGGACCAAAGAUUUAUCGCCUUUGGAUGGGCCCGCGUUGGAUUAGCUAGUUGGUAGGGUAAAAGCCUACCAAGGCGACGAUCCAUAGCUGGUCUGAGAGGAUGAUCAGCCACACUGGGACUGAGACACGGCCCAGACUCCUGGGGGGGGGGGAGGGGGGAAAUAGUGAACAGGGGGGAAAAGCCUGACCCGGCAAUGCCGGGGGGGGGAUGAGGCCUUUGGGUUUAAAAAGCUUUUUUACCCGGGGUAAAAAUGACAGUCCCGGAAAAAAAAGCCCCGGCAAACCCCGUC